rnacentral:rRNA from 1 species
GAUGAACGCUGGCGGCGUGCCUAACACAUGCAAGUCGACCGGCGCACGGGUGAGUAACGCGUAUCCAACCUGCCCAUCACUUGGGGAUAACCUUGUGAAAGUAAGACUAAUACCCAAUGACGUCUCUAGAAGACAUCUGAAAGAGAUUAAAGAUUUAUCGGUGAUGGAUGGGGAUGCGUCUGAUUAGCUUGUUGGCGGGGUAACGGCCCACCAAGGCGACGAUCAGUAGGGGUUCUGAGAGGAAGGUCCCCCACAUUGGAACUGAGACACGGUCCAAACUCCUACGGGAGGCAGCAGUGAGGAAUAUUGGUCAAUGGACGAGAGUCUGAACCAGCCAAGUAGCGUGCAGGAUGACGGCCCUAUGGGUUGUAAACUGCUUUAUAAGGGAAUAAAGUGGGAGUCGUGACUCUUUUGCAUGUACCUUAUGAAUAAGGACCGGCUAAUUCCGUG